CAGCUCAGGGCCUCAGGAGGCUGGGUCCACCAUGGCCUGGGUUCCUCUCCUUGUCCUGCUCAUCUCCCAUUGCACAGGUUCCCUCUCCCAGCCUGUGCUGACCCAGCCACCCUCCCUCUCUGCAUCCCCGGGAGCAUCUGUGAGACUCACCUGCACCCUGAGCAGUGGCCUCAGUGUUGGUGACUUCUGGAUACGCUGGUUACAGCAGAAACCAGAGAGCCCUCCCCAGUAUCUCCUGGCAUUCAAGUCUGACUCAGACAAGAACCAGGGCUCUGGGGUCCCCAGUCGCUUCUCUGGAGCCAAAGAUGCCUCGACUAACUCAGGUGUUCUGCACAUCUCUGGGCUGCAGCCUGAGGACGAGGCUGACUAUUACUGCUGUGUGUGGCAUGAGGAUUCUAAGACUGUUGUGCUCGGCGGAGGGACCCAGCUGAUCGUCCUCGGUGGACCCAAGUCCCCACCCACAGUCAACGUGUUCGCACCGUCCACUGAGGAGCUGGCCACCAACAAGGCCACGGUGACGUGUCUCUUGAGUGGAUUCUACCCAGGGAGUGUAGACAUCAAGUGGAAGAAAGACGGCACCCUCAUCUCCCAGGGUGUGCAGACCACCAAGGCCUCCAAGCAGGCCGACAACAAGUACACGGCCAGCAGCUACCUGACCCUGACGGGCAGCGAGUGGAAGGCAGGACGCACUUACAGCUGCCAGGUGACGCACGAAGGGAGCACCAUCGAGAAGAAAGUGGCCGCUGCAGACUGUUCUUAGUUCCCUGACCCUCAGCCCUUCCCGUGAGGCCCUGACUUGCCAGACCCUGCUGGGGGUCUCCCCUUGCCCACCCCCACCCAUCCAAGCACCUCCGCGCAAACCCAGUCCACUCUCAAUAAAAGAUCCUCAUUUCAAUCACAA